AAACUGAAGAGUUUGAUCAUGGCUCAGAUUGAACGCUGGCGGCAGGCUUAACACAUGCAAGUCGAGCGGAAACGAUGAUAGCUUG
rnacentral:rRNA from 1 species